AGACUUUCUACAAUCUCGGAAUCAUCAAUACCCACAGAUUCCGACACAGCAGGUCACAGCUGCUGCCUUGCACAGAGCCGCUCCAGCCCCGUGACCGGCCCGUACGGAGCCCUGCCUGCAGUCAGCCAGCAGCGGAGACCUCUGGAAAGUCUUUGCGUCUGUUCUUUCUCUGAUUUUUCACCCUGUGACUUCGUGCCUUCUUUAACACAUGAUACUCCCUGCCCUUGUGAAAUUCCCAGAGGGGCGGGAGCAGCGCAGGUCCCACCCGCUCUGUUUGAACCGGGUCCGGGAGCCUCGGGGCAUUUGCCCAUCCCAACAGCACAGCCUUGGCCACAAAGUGCCUGCUGGGCAUGGCCAGGAGCAGAGCAUCCAUCUAUGAAGCACUGGAAAUUCAAACACCUGCUGAUGUGGCUGCUGGAAGAGCUGGUAAACAUUCAUUAACCCAUUGCUGAGUACUGCCAGCCAGAGCUCUUGGCCUCAGUGCUGCAACGGGCCAUGGCUGAGCCUGUCUCCAUUCCAGGGACAGGAAUUGCUGCAGCCUCCCCAGCCACUGGAGAAGGCUCUGAAGCCACACUGGCUCAGCCCAUGGGGCUCCCACACACUGUGAUCCCGUUAGGAGUAAGCACAGCUUCGACCAAGCACAACCACAGAGCUCUCACCGAGGACACAUCAUGUCAGGGGAAGCUUUACAGUGCUGGGAUCCUGGAGGAAAAGCCCCUUUGAGUCAGUCCCCACCAGGUAUGAGCACCCCUGAGAAGAGCCUGGAUCAGCCAGGCAGGGUCUUGAUGUCCCCACCUCUGCCAUACCCACACACCAGUGCUUGCUAAGUUUGUUUCACAAUCACUGAUGAGCAAUUUAUGAGUCAAAAAAAUGACAGAUUACCCAAUCUCCUAGCUAGAGCCCCUAAUUAACCCAAGACCCAAUGGCACUGGGGUUACCAGAGAGCAAACAUUUGUAUGAAAUGCUCAAAAACUGCUGCAUGUUUGUAGCAGGGUUUGCUUUUUUUUUUUUUGCUUGCUCUUGGCCAAAUUUCUCAUGGAAAACCCCAGGAGGAGAUGAGUAGCGCAGUUCCCAAGAAAUCCUGGGGCUGAAUUUGAGCUCACCCUGCAUGCCCUGGGCAGGGAACAUCACUCUGCUGACCAGGAAUAAAAUCUGGGCUGUGGUGCUUGGCACCCCGGGUAGGGAAAGCUGGAGGAGGCCACCCAAGGGACACCUUUGAAGCAGCGGGAAGGAGGAGGUGGUGCUGUUUUACCUGCCCGGUGAUGGGCAGUGCUCGUCCACGGCACCCCAACAUUCCAACAGGCUGGCUGUAGAGUAUCCCCCAGAGAUUUGGGCAUUUUAGGAUGACUUCUGGAGAGACAGCUGAUCCUGGGGUACACCCUGGGCCUCUGCCUUUCAGCACUUUGCAGCAUUUGUUUGCUGCAGUGGCAAAACCUUCUCUCCCAUUCAUCCCUAUCUGCUCUUUACAAAGGCUUUUUGUUUCCCCAAGUGUUGCCUUUUUUCUUUUUUUUUUUUCUUUCCCACAUGUGAUUUAAUUCACACAAACUCCUUCCUCUUCUGACUAUUGAUCUUGGCUCCUUACUGGUUAAAAUAAACUAAAUCUUUCAUAAGCAGGUUCUGACAACACAACUUUUGUUCCUUCCAGACACAAUUUCCUGUUUAAUUUCCUGACUGUUUCUUACUUGGUAAAGGAAAAGCUGUAAAUUGCAAGAUUGCUUCAGAGACCUUCCUCUGACUUCAGAUGAACCGUUAACCAGUUGCAGGAGAGAAUCCAGCAAAGCAGCACAAAACUUGUAAAAAAAAAAAAAAUCAAUUUUUUUUAUAUCUCCGGCGAUUCCCACCGAAAGGAAGGCUGUGCAAAAAUUAAAGGUUGGAAUAAUUUUCCUUGGAAAAUCAAACAGGAGCAACUCCACCUCCAGCUGAGCAGCCAGUGCUUGGGAAUGGAUGGAAAACGGCUUCCAGGGGAAGGGAUCCACCUUAUCCUAGCCUGGCUGGCAGGUGUUCCAGGCACAACUUCAGCAGCAGCUGGCUGUGACACCAGUGCAAAGCUCUGGUGCUGGAGAAGACAACGUGCUCAGCCACUGGGGAGCUUCUCUUACUGUCUGAUAGGGCUGAUGGAACAGGGAAAGUCCAAAGGCUGCUGACAGCUGGGACACAGAGAAUCCACAUUAAUUCCUGCUCUCAAGAUGGAAAUGUGGUGUGGGCCUGGGUGCUUGCAGUGGGGUGAGCCGUGCUGGGUGUCUUGGUGCCCCUGGUGCUUCCCAACACCUGCUGUCUGAGCCCCCCUG